rnacentral:rRNA from 1 species
CAGCCUGAUGCAGCAACGCCGCGUGAGGGACGACGGCCUUCGGGUUGUAAACCUCUUUUAGCAGGGAAGAAGCGAAAGUGACGGUACCUGCAGAAAAAGCACCGGCUAACUACGUGCCAGCAGCCGCGGUAAUACGUAGGGUGCAAGCGUUAUCCGGAAUUAUUGGGCGUAAAGAGCUCGUAGGCGGUUUGUCGCGUCUGCUGUGAAACCCCGAGGCUCAACCUCGGGCCUGCAGUGGGUACGGGCAGACUAGAGUGCGGUAGGGGAGAUUGGAAUUCCUGGUGUAGCGGUGGAAUGCGCAGAUAUCAGGAGGAACACCGAUGGCGAAGGCAGAUCUCUGGGCCGUAACUGACGCUGAGGAGCGAAAGGGUGGGGAGCAAACAGGCUUAGAUACCCUGGUAGUCCACCCCGUAAACGUUGGGAACUAGUUGUGGGGUCCAUUCCACGGAUUCCGUGACGCAGCUAACGCAUUAAGUUCCCCGCCUGGGGAGUACGGCCGCAAGGCUAAAACUCAAAGGAAUUGACGGGGACCCGCACAAGCGGCGGAGCAUGCGGAUUAAUUCGAUGCAACGCGAAGAACCUUACCAAGGCUUGACAUAUACGAGAACGCUGCAGAAAUGUAGAACUCUUUGGAC